AGGACGAACGCUGGCGGCGCGCCUAAAACAUGCAAGUCGAACGAGAAGCCCGGGCUUGCCCGGGUGGACAGUGGCGAACGGGUGAGUAACACGUGAGGAACCUGCCCCGAAGACCGGGACAACACCGGGAAACCGGUGCUAAUACCGGAUACCUUCACCGGAUCGCAUGGUCUGGUGAAGAAAUGGAUUCCGCUUCGGGAUGGCCUCGCGGCCUAUCAGCUUGUUGGUGAGGUAACGGCUCACCAAGGCAACGACGGGUAGCUGGUCUGAGAGGAUGUCCAGCCACACUGGGACUGAGACACGGCCCAGACUCCUACGGGAGGCAGCAGUUAGGAAUCUUGCGCAAUGGACGAAAGUCUGACGCAGCGACGCCGCGUGCGGGAUGAAGGCCUUCGGGUUGUAAACCGCUUUCAGCAGGGACGAAUUGACGGUACCUGCAGAAGAAGCCCCGGCCAACUACGUGCCAGCAGCCGC
rnacentral:rRNA from 1 species